UACGUAGGCAGCGAGCGUUGUUCGGAAUUACUGGGCGUAAAGAGUGUGUAGGCGGUGUUCCAAGUCUGGUGUGAAAUCUCCCGCUCAACUGGGAGGGUGCGCCGGAAACUGGAAUGCUAGAGGGUGGGAGAGGUAAGCGGGAAUUCCUGGUGUAGCGGUGAAAUGCGUAGAUAUCAGGAGGAACACCGGUGGCGAAGGCGGGUCUCUGGGCAACAACUGACGCUGAGGAGCGAAAGCGUGGGGAGCGAACAGG
rnacentral:rRNA from 1 species